rnacentral:rRNA from 1 species
UACGUAGGGUGCAAGCGUUAAUCGGAAUUACUGGGCGUAAAGCGUGCGCAGGCGGUUUUGUAAGUCUGUCGUGAAAUCCCCCGGGCUCAACCUGGGGAAUUGCGAUGGAGACUGCAAGGCUAGAAUCUGGCAGAGGGGGGUAGAAUUCCACGUGUAGCAGUGAAAUGCGUAGAGAUGUGGAGGAACACCGAUGGCGAAGGCAGCCCCCUGGGUCAAGAUUGACGCUCAUGCACGAAAGCGUGGGGAGCAAACAGGAUUAGACGUACCCCU